rnacentral:rRNA from 1 species
UACAGAGGGUGCAAGCGUUGUUCGGAAUUAUUGGGCGUAAAGGGCGCGUAGGCGGUUUCGCAUGUCCGAUGUGAAAGCCCACCUCUUAAAGGUGGAAUUGCAUCGGAAACUGCGAGACUAGAGUGCCGGAGAGGGUGGUGGAAUUCCUGGUGUAGACGUGAAAUUCGUAGAUAUCAGGAGGAACACCGGUGGCGAAGGCGGCCACCUGGACGGUUACUGACGCUGAGGCGCGAAAGCGUGGGGAGCAAACAGG